AGAUCCCACAGCUUGGGGAAUCACCUACAACCUAGGGGGUGAUGUUUAUGGAACUCAUUAUCCUACAGGUCUCUCGGAAGUUGACGCUGGGCUAACCGGAAUUUGUUUCAACCUGACUUCACUUGAGUGUCUAUUCUUCUAGUGCAACAAAGUAGAAACACAAGGAGAUAGGAACAAAGGUAGAUGUCUGAGGAUCUGCUUGACAGGCCAACUUCCACAUCGGGCUGCAUGAGGCAACGGCAACAGCAUUUCCCCCCAGAACCAUGAGAGCAUUAGAUGAAACCCAGAUAUCUUUAAGAUAUGGAGACCCAAGUUUUUAGAGGGUUUUUUUUUUUUUUGUUUUUUUUUUUUAAGAAUUUGAGCUAUAUAUACUGAGAUCUAAGCUCAAAGAUCUUUCUCAUUUAAUAGGAAUUUUCUUCAAGGACACAAAGAUAGGGUUAAGUUUCGCUGUGUACAUGGAAGGAUAAACCCUCUCAACACCGUCUCCUCCCUGCUGGGCCCAGGACUCCCUUAGCUUCACCUCUAUUUGCCAUCUUCCCCUCAGAACUGAAAACCAGCAAUGUGAGAUUCACCUCACUCCUCACAGGACUCAUUCUGAUCAACCAUUUUUCUGUCCCUGGCUUGUUUGUAAGAUGAUGUCAGCUCUAGAGGUACUGUAGGUUGGCAAACAGGGAGCUAUAUUCCACAGUGAAAACCAAACCUCCAAACUAACACUCCUGAGCCUCCAGGACACAAGGCAGCCACUCUGGAGGGGAAAGGGCACAGAUGAUCUGUACAGAGAGUGAACAACACCACGUCUGAGCCAUUGCCAAGACCACCGAUGCUGGAAGGUUAUACAGAACCACUCACAGUGAUGACCACAAAUAGCCAACAGGGAGACCUGCAUCUCCUUAAUUGCACCAGGAGGCAGUGCAGACCAGGCAAUGGGACCUGAGGGAGCAGCAGCCAGGGAUCUCACCAAGUUUCACCUUGGAGCUCAAGCCCAAGAAAGCCCAGGCUGAUGGCUGAGGGCCUUGCUCCCAGUCUACACAGUCCACGGCAUGACACUGUCUCACCCUUGUCUGUCAGUUUUUUGCCCUGCUCUGUUCCAGAGGAGAAUGCCCUAUCACUGUCCAUGGUCAUUUCCAAGUAUUCCCUCCUCAAAGGAGCUUUUCCUGACCGACAUAAAGCAAACCUCCAGGUCACUCCCUUUUUUAAUCUUAUGCCACUUAAAAUUUCCCUGUUUAUUUUUGAUCCACUAUCCUCACAGCAAAGCAGUGAGCAUAGGGGGUGCAGGGCCCUUCUUUGACUCAUCCAGCGCUGCAUUUCCAGGACUUACAAUUCUACCUGGAAUUUACUAGAUACUCAGCCAAUGCUGAAUGAUGACUAAAAAAGCCAGACACUACACACAUGGAAAAGCUUCUGAAUUCCUAAAACAAAGAAAAGGGCAGAGGAACAAUCGUCAUUUCCAAUUUAUUGAAAUCUUUCUAAAUGCAAAUCUGAGCUCCUCUCUGAUUCAUCAUUCUUAGGGAAUGACUGCCAGUCCUGCUCUUUACAACAGGAUGGUGUGGGGACAAGGGUGCAUAACUGACAACUGACCCAGCAAAGAGAGGGAGAGGAACGCUAGAGGUCUGACGAAGGGAGGCCACAACCGGAGCCUCACCCAGUGGCUGCUAGCUUGAUGAGAACACUUUGGG
rnacentral:lncRNA from 1 species